ACGGAGGAUGCGAGCGUUAUCCGGAUUUAUUGGGUUUAAAGGGUGCGUAGGUGGCUUUUUAAGUCAGCGGUGAAAACUGGCGGCUCAACCGCAAGAGUGCCGUUGAAACUGGGGAGCUAGAGUAUGAACGAGGUAGGCGGAAUGUGUGGUGUAGCGGUGAAAUGCAUAGAUAUCACGCAGAACUCCGAUAGCGAAGGCAGCUUACCAGGCCAUAACAGACACUGAAGCACGAAAGCGUGGGGAUCGAACAG
rnacentral:rRNA from 1 species